UUUCCGUAGGUGAACCUGCGGAAGGAUCAUUAAUAAAAGGAUACCCUCGGGUAUACCCCAUCCGUGUCUACAUACUCUUGUUGCUUUGGCAGGCCGUGGUCUCCCACUGUGGGCUCUGCCUGCAUGUGCCUGCCAGAGGACCAAACUCUGAAUGUUAGUGAUGUCUGAGUACUAUAUAAUAGUUAAAACUUUCAACAACGGAUCUCUUGGUUCUGGCAUCGAUGAAGAACGCAGC
rnacentral:misc_RNA from 1 species